AGUAACUAAGCGGGAUCCGUGAACAGAACCCCCAAUGAGACCCCCAUUAGUUGUGGCUUAUUUUGGUCUUUUAAGUUAGUUUCUUUCCCCUACAUUACUUGAUCGUUUUUGUAAAACAACAGCACUCGAGGUCUGAUAGUAUUUUACCAAGAAAUGGACAAAAUAUCCAAAAAGAAGGCUUAGAAAAUUUAAAUAUUGGUAUGCACACAUAUACUAACCUGUCAGCACAGACAAUUAUAUUUUUGUUAACGCGCCAAACUCGUUUCUUCCACAGUGCGACACUCUUUACAAUACAAUGUUGAUGGUGGUGAAAACCUAGUCCAAAUAAUUAUGACGUCUUGCAAGGCUAUUUUAUUUCUGGGACGCUUUCCUCCGACGAAGCCGAAAUGUGAAACCAAAUCAACAAGAAGUCUAACAUUUAUUAUAGAACUGAAAAUAAAAUUGAAAAUGGGGAAUGUGUCAAAGAGUAAAACAUGUUAACAACCUGACAAAGAGCAGAUACGUCCAAAGGUCACCAAUGGGUCGUCAUGCAACGAGAAAAUCUUUAAAGGAGGGUCCUAACCCAGGACAAAUGGGGGGGGGGGUUCCCACCCUCGGAUCCCCCUGGAUCCGUGCCUGUGAGGCAUGCUUUAGCUUGCCAUUAAACAAAAAUGUAUACUAGUUGAGUGAUAAUGGACGUGAUACUAAACUCCUCAAUGUAAAAAAAAGAAACUAAAAUAAAAAUCAUACAAAGGUCACAAAGGCCAUAACUUCUGGCCCCUGACUUGGGAAAAGUGCAAAAUGCAGUGGGGUUAAAAGCCUUUACUGUAAAUUCCUAAAAUUACAAUUAUAUAAAUCAUCUCGCAUCUUGGUGCAUUUCUGAAAAUUGGUCAUAUUAAUAAAUGCAUGCUAUAUUUUCAGAAAAUUUCAAUAUAUAUAGGCUUUUAAAAGUCAAUCUUGUGCAUGAUUAUCACGAUUAUACUCGCACAAUUAACACAUGUGGUUCUCAAAACUAAGAGAUGUCUAUGCUAUUUAUGACAACAUUUUUAAUCAAGUAUUUAUAAAAUAUAUUUUUUUACAUAUAAGGCCGUUAGUUUUCUCGUUUGAAUUGUUUUACAUUGUCUUAUCAGGGCCUAUUAUAGCUGACUAUGCGGUAUGGGCUUUGCUCAUUGUUGAAGGCCGUACAUGACCUAUAUUUGUUAAUGUCUGUAUCAUAUUUUGGUCUUUUGUGAUAGUUUGUCUCAUUGGCAUCAUACCACGUACAUCUUUUUUUUUUAGUUAUCGGCGUCGCGGCUACAGAAGCGGCGUUAGCAACUUUUUUAAAAGCUUUAAUAUUUAUGAAGGUGGAAGACUGGAUGCUUCAUACUUGUAUAUAUAAAAUGCCUCAUUUACGAAGUUUCCCAGUCACAUGUCCAAAUUCCUUGACCUCAUUUUCAUGUUCAGUGACCACUUGAAAAAAAAGUUCAGAUUUUUUGUAAUGUUAAUUCUCUCUUAAUUAUAAGUAAUAGGAUAAAUUAUAUUGUAUGUGCAUACCUUGCAAGGUCCUCAAUUGCUCAGACAGUUUUCACUUGACCUCACCUCAUUUCAUGGAUCAGUGAACAAGGUAAAGUUUUUGUUGGUCAAGUCCAUAUCUCAAUACAUUAGCAAUAGGUUAGUAUAUUCGGUUAUGGAAGGACUGUAAAACAUGUCACUUCUGACCUUGACCUCAUUUCAUGGUUGAGUGGUCAAAGUUAAGUUUUGAGUUUUGCUUUUUAUCUCUAAUAUAUAUGCCAUAGUCAACUAUAUUUGGUGUAUGGAAAUAUUUUAUGAUCUAUAUGUCAGUCGCGCAGGUUUUAUUUGACCUCGACCUCAUUUUCACGUCUCAUGCUCAGUGUUAAGUUUUGUGUUUUGGUCUAUUUUUCUUAACUAUAGUAAUAGGUCAACUAAUAUUUGUUUAUGGAAGCAUUGUAAAGCUGUACAUGUCUGCCUGGCAUGGUUCAUCUGACCUUGACCUCAUUUUCAUGGUUCAUUGGUCUUUGUUUAGUUAUCUUGGUUAAUGUUAAGUUUAUGUGACAGUUUUUUAUAACUUAUACUUAGGACUAUCAACAUAAUAUCAAUGAUUAGUAAAGAAGGCGAGACAUUUCAGCAUGUGCACUCUUGUUUUAUUUGGAGGGGGUCUUAUUUGUGCAGUGCUCAUAGUUUUUCUAGUUGAUCAUUAAAAUUCAUUUAUAGCAUAAAGACCAACUAAAAGGGCAACAAGCUUAUCAAGCACUCAUGGUACAGAUUUUUAUUAAACACACAUUAAUAUACAUCAUGUACAUUAAACAGCAAAAAAAAACAUUGAUGCAAGAUGUCAUUCAAUACUAACUUUUACUCUUUUAUGUAUAGGACAAGAACUAUAGAAGAAUUAAGAAUUAUAAACAGCAGAAAUGAUAGGCAAUUUAAAAUUUGCAGAAGCCAACUAAACCUAAAUGGUAAGGCCACUUUUAUUUUAAAAAAAGUUAUUGAACUUGAAAGAUGAUGAUUAUCAUGAUUACUAUAAAAAUUAAAAGAUGUGGUAUAUUAAAUAUGAAAACUAUUGAUCAUGGCUUUGAAAGAAAGCAAUUGUAGGCCUGUGACGACCUUCAAUAAUGAGAAAAUCCGUACCCUAUAGUCAAAGUAGGCAGCUAUAAAAGACCCUCAGAUGAAAAAUUGAAACAAUCAAAACUGUAAAACUAAUUGCCUAGUUUAUAACAAAAUAAAUUACAAAAAAAUAAAUAUGAACAGUAUGAAACAACAACAACAACCACUAAAUUUUAGUGUCAGACUAAACUGACAAAAACUACAGGCUCUAAACUUUGGACAGGCACAAUAGGAAUAUGGCAAGGUUAUAUUAAAUAUAAGAUGUGGCAUGAUUGCCAAUAAGACAACUCUCCACCAGACAACCAAUGAUGUAAAUUUCCUGCAAACACAGACUGGACUACUGUAAACAACUAAAUUUUUCGCGAAUACUUUAUUUUGCGUUUUAUACUUUCUAGUCUACAUCACAGCUAUUUUUUUUUUUGCGAUUUUCAAGUUUACUUAAUGUAUUUUAAUAAAUGAAUAAGGAAAGAUACAUAUAUGAAAAACAGUCCCGACAAUUUAUAUGCAUGUUAUAUUUCUAAAUGCGAAAAUAAAUCGCUCACGAAAAUUAGUUGGUUUACAGUAAGCAAGAAAUUUAUACAUUUCCCUUAAUUGAAAAAGACACAAAGUUAAGUACUCACAGUAACUGACAGCUUAAGUUAAAAAUCCAUAAAAACUAAUGCAUGUAAUAAAAAACAGGUUUAUGAGCACUCAACCCUACCCUUACUUUAGACAGUGGUUUAACAGCUCAACAUAUAUAUAUAUAAUAUAAAGAACAAACUGCCUCAACUUGAAAGAUUGAUAAAUGCACAAAAUCAACUAAUAUAAGAACUAUAGACAAAAGCAUUCACAAGUAAGAAAGGAAAUAUAUUUAAAAUGUUAAUAAACAUGACAAAAUAAACUUUUAUUGCUGUUUCUCUCUCCAUUUAUAACAUUUUAUUUGUUUAUUUUGUGUAUUUAUAGGUGAUCAGACAUCUUGGUUUUCAUGAUCAAUAGGUCAUUACUGAAGAGGAAACUUAAAGUUGAAAUGUAUCUACAUAGUGCGCAAUUGGAUUAAUUUGAACUGGAAUGUGUGCUUUCCUGCAAAAAAGAAAUAGGAAAUUUCAUCAUAAUCACAUGAUAAUGGCCAUAAACAAAAUGGAGUUCUAUCAUAGAUACACAAAAAAACUAUUGUAUAAAAGCAACAACAUAUUAUAUAUAUUAGUCGAAAGAAAGGAGAAAUGCAGAA
rnacentral:lncRNA from 1 species